rnacentral:tRNA from 1 species
GAGGCUCAGUGGUAGAGCAUCUGCUUGGCAUGCUGAGGGUCCUGGUUUUAAUCCCGGUCAUCUUCA